UUGUUUUUCUCCUAUGCAUCAUGGUCACAAUUAUUGCCAUGCAUUGAAAUUAUUUUGAGUAAAAUAUCAAAAUAAAUGUAUUUCCAUUGAUAGUUAUUUUUUUUUAGUACACCAUGGUGACUAGGAGCCUGAAAUUGUCCAGAUAUAGCUUCCUGUUCCACAGGAUUAUAAAUAUGAGGACCAUAAAGGUCAAAUACCCCUUAAUCAUCCAUCACAAGGAGUAAAACCAAAGCUCUGAUGUGCAGAAUAAGAUUUUUGAGCUUCACACGAUAGAAAAUGUCUGUAAGAAAAGAGCUAAAGCAAUGAAAAUACCCAUUCUAAUCAACUAAAGAUGUUACAAAUCUGCCUUGAAGAGGACGUGUGUCUAUAUCGUCCUAAUGCACAGUGAGGAUAGUUUGAGUGGCCAAAGACUCUCCAAGGAUUACAGCUGGAGAAUUGCAGAGAUUAGUUGGGACUUGGGUCAGAAAGUCUUUAAAAAAGAUAAUCAAAGAGCCCCUACAUCACCACAUGUUGUUCAUGAGGGUUUCAAGAAAAAAAACGCCUUGCUCACCCCCCCCAAAAAAAAACUAACAAAAAAAAAAAACUCUAGCAGUUUUCAAACACAACUGGAACUUCAAGUGGCACUGGCUUCUGUGGUCAGAUGAAACAAACAAAAAAAUAAAUAAAAAGAGCUUUUGAGCAGCAAACCCACCAGAUGGGUUAAAUACAAACAGGGAUAAAAAGUACCCUAUGUACAGGGUUAAAUAUACUGCUGGAUCUUUAAUACACAUGGCAUAAUAAAUUCAAUUAGAUACCAAAAGAUAAACCUAAACCUGACUGCCUCUGUUAAAAAUCUUAUAAUGGUUGUCUGCUUUUUGGAUGAGUUGAGGGAACUGAAGAGAAGAAGCACCAACAUGGAGCUGUGAAUCUAAAGGAUCUGGAGAGAUUAUGUAUGAAGGAAUUGUCUCUGAUCUCUUAUCAGAAAUUAUUCAAACUCGUCAGGCAUCAUAGAAGAAAACUCAGAGCUAUUAUCUUGGGAAAAGGAUGUUGCAAUAAUUGGGUGCCAAUAAGUGUGACCAACAUGAAAACAUAUUUCACAGUUUUACUUCAUUGAAAGUUUAGAAUUGUGUGAACUUUUUGAAUGAAAGAUCAAAAGGAUAAACAAUGCAGAUUUAUUUUCACAGCCGCCUUUAAUCAUUUUUACCAAGUGUGUCAAUAAUAGUGGAGGGCAAUGUACAUAUUUCACUUACAAUAAUGAAGAUGCAUGUCAUUAAGAAUAGAAUUAAGGUGUAUUAAUGUCCACAUUACAUUUUACAGUAUGACGUCUGUUAUUAAUCAACUGAAAAUUGCGGUAACACUUCAUCUAUUAAAAAUAUAUUUAAUGCAAUGGUGCAUUAAUAUUUGUAUAAGGGUUUAAAAAAAGAGUUUUACAAAUUUAUGUAAUUUCAUAAUUAUGUAGUCCAUUGAAAUGAAAUGCCACCUCUUUUGAAAUAUGUUUGCUUUUGCACAUCUGCAAUGGAGAAUCUGCAAUUUAGUAACUUCCAUGCUAUG